rnacentral:rRNA from 1 species
CCUACGGGAGGCUGCAGUGGGGAAUAUUGGACAAUGGGGGCAACCCUGAUCCAGCCAUGCCGCGUGUGUGAAGAAGGCCCUCGGGUUGUAAAGCACUUUCAGUGAGGAAGAACGCCUUGUGGUUAAUACCCAUCAGGAAAGACAUCACUCACAGAAGAAGCACCGGCUAACUCCGUGCCAGCAGCCGCGGUAAUACGGAGGGUGCGAGCGUUAAUCGGAAUUACUGGGCGUAAAGCGCGCGUAGGUGGCUUGAUAAGCCGGUUGUGAAAGCCCCGGGCUCAACCUGGGAACGGCAUCCGGAACUGUCAAGCUAGAGUGCAGGAGAGGAAGGUAGAAUUCCCGGUGUAGCGGUGAAAUGCGUAGAGAUCGGGAGGAAUACCAGUGGCGAAGGCGGCCUUCUGGACUGACACUGACACUGAGGUGCGAAAGCGUGGGUAGCAAACAGGAUUAGAUACCCCAGUAGUC